GUGGGGAAUCUUAGACAAUGGGCGCAAGCCUGAUCUAGCCAUGCCGCGUGAGCGAUGAAGGCCUUAGGGUUGUAAAGCUCUUUCGUGGGGGAAGAUAAUGACUGUACCCCAAGAAGAAGCCCCGGCUAACUCCGUGCCAGCAGCCGCGGUAAUACGGAGGGGGCUAGCGUUGUUCGGAAUUACUGGGCGUAAAGCGCACGUAGGCGGACUGGAAAGUCAGGGGUGAAAUCCCGGGGCGCAACCCCGGAACUGCCUUUGAUACUCCCAGGCUUGAGUUCGAGAGAGGUGAGUAGAAUUCCGAGUGUAGAGGUGAAAUUCAUAGAUAUUCGUAGGAACACCAGUGGCGAAGGCGGCUCACUGGCUCGAUACUGACGCAGAGGUGCGAAAGCGUGGGGAGCAAACAGGAUUAGAAACCCGUGUAGUCA
rnacentral:rRNA from 1 species